GAUGAACGCUGGCGGCGUGCUUAACACAUGCAAGUCGAACGGUGAAGCCAAGCUUGCUUGGUGGAUCAGUGGCGAACGGGUGAGUAACACGUGAGCAACCUGCCCCGGACUCUGGGAUAAGCGCUGGAAACGGCGUCUAAUACCGGAUAUGAACCACAGCCGCAUGGUUGGUGGUUGGAAAGAUUUUUUGGUUCGGGAUGGGCUCGCGGCCUAUCAGCUUGUUGGUUAGGUAAUGGCUCACCAAGGCGUCGACGGGUAGCCGGCCUGAGAGGGGGACCGGGCACACUGGGACUGGGACACGGCCCAGACGCCUGCGGGAGGCAGCAGUGGGGAAGAGUGCACAAUGGGCGGAAGCCUGAUGCAGAAACGCCGAGUGAGGGAUGACGGCCUUCGGGUUGUAAACCUCUUGUAGCAAGGAAGAAGCGAAAGUGACGGUACUUGCAGAAAAAGCGCCGGCUAACUACGUGCCAGCCGCCGCGGUAA
rnacentral:rRNA from 1 species